ensembl:snRNA U6 U6 spliceosomal RNA
GUGCUCGCUUCGGCAGCACAUACACUAAAAUUGGAAGGAUACGGAGAAGAUUAGCAUGGCCCCUGCACAAGGGUGACACACAAAUUCAUGGAGCAUUCCAUAUUAAA